rnacentral:rRNA from 1 species
CAAUAGCGUAUAUUAAAGUUGUUGCAGUUAAAAAGCUCGUAGUUGGAUUUGUGGCGUACGGUGGGUUCCGGGCACUUGUUGUCUGAGUAACUUGCUGUUGCCAUCCUUGGGUGGAGCCUGUGUGGCAUUAGGUUGUCGUGCAGGGGAUGCCCAUCAUUUACUGUGAAAAAAUUAGAGUGUUCAAAGCAGGCUUAUGCCGUUGAAUAUAUUAGCAUGGAAUAAUGAGAUAGGACUUUUUUGCUAUUUUGUUGGUUUGCGCAAAGAGGUAAUGAUUAAUAGGGACAGUUGGGGGUAUUCGUAUUCCAUUGUCAGAGGUGAAAUUCUUGGAUUUUUGGAAGACAAACUACUGCGAAAGCAUUUACCAAGGAUGUUUUCAUUAA